rnacentral:rRNA from 1 species
CAGCAGCCGCGGUAAUACGUAGGUGGCAAGCGUUGUCCGGAAUUAUUGGGCGCAAAGGGCUCGCAGGCGGUUUCUUAAGUCUGAUGUGAAAGCCCCCGGCUCAACCGGGGAGGGUCAUUGGAAACUGGGAAACUUGAGUGCAGAAGAGGAGAGUGGAAUUCCACGUGUAGCGGUGAAAUGCGUAGAGAUGUGGAGGAACACCAGUGGCGAAGGCGACUCUCUGGUCUGUAACUGACGCUGAGGAGCGAAAGCGUGGGGAGCAAAUGGGAUUAGAUACCCCAGUAGUCCCUGUCUCUUAUAA